GUGCCAGCAGCCGCGGUAAUACCGGCAGCACGAGUGAUGGCCGAUUUUAUUGGGCCUAAAGCGUCCGUAGCUUGCUGUGUAAGUCCAUUGGGAAAUCCACGCGCUCAACGCGUGGGCGGCCGGUGGAAACGGCACGGCUUGGGGCCGAGAGACUCGACGGGUACGUCCGGGGUAGGAGUGAAAUCCUAUAAUCCUGGACGGACCACCAAUGGGGAAACCACGUCGAGCGACCGGACCCGACAGUGAGGGACGAAAGCCAGGGUCUCGAACCGGAUUAGUAACCCCUGUAGUCC
rnacentral:rRNA from 1 species